UGGGGAUGAGCUUCAAUACUUCAUUGGCGCUCAAUGAUGCUAUGUCAAGUGCACUUUUUGUCAAGCUUUGCAUGUCACUUGCUGGGGCUGAUCCUAAAGCUUCUUUGCAGAAAUCCUUGUAUAAGGUUUUGUCACAGGAUUGAUUUAACAAUUCUGAGGCUUGGUGACUAGUAGAAAUCAUGGCAAAAAAUAGGGCAAAGAAAAAGAUUUUCGAAGACAUGAUGGUUCGUGGGAUUUUUCUCUCUCGCCAAUUUUUCUUUAUUUGCCUUCUCGUAUAUGUGUCAAUGAAAAUCUUUCUCUUGGCGAAUUUUUCUUUUGCCUUCUUAUUUUCGAAGACAUGAUGUUUCGUGGGAUUUUUCUUUCUUGCCAAUUUUUCUUUAUUUGCCUUCUCGUAUAUAUGUCAAUGAAAAUCUUUCUCUUGGCGAAUUUUUCUUUUGCCUUCUUCUUGUAUUUGUACUAAACAAAAGUUUGGGUAUUUUAGGUUGUUUUUAACUAUUUUCUAUUUUUGGGAAGGUUGUUAAAGAAAUAAGACGAGAAUAAGGAG
rnacentral:lncRNA from 1 species